UCUGGCGGUUGAGCUCGGGAGGAUUGCUUGCCUGUGUGCCCGCUUCUUCCUUCUAACUAUUUCUCUCGCUUGUGGCGUAGAUGGAGCUGGAUCUGGAUGGCGCCCAUGGUCUCUCUUCUCUAAGUCCUGGAUUGCUUGGAUCGGGUUGUCACCGAGGCGUUUCCCGGUCUACAAACCUCCGCAUGUAAAUCGAUUGUAGCACCUCUUCGUCUUGUAGAACUCCAAGGUUGUGUUUGAUACUGGUCCAUAAAUUCUUUGAUAGUGGUGGUCGGGAGCGGCUCUCGAGAUCUUCUCCCGCACAGAGGCUUUGUGAGAACUUUCACACGCACUGGCGAUUUGAGAAAACGGAACUGAGAUCGAGGGGAAUUUAUUAAGUAAUUUAAUAAUGAUACCAAAAUCCUUUAAACUAAA